CUUUGAUCGUGCCUUCUCUUUAUUGUACGUACAGGUCAGAUUAGAAGCUAGGGAGUUUGAAUCAUUUGUUGAUGACAUAGUCCCAAAUUCAAGUCCACUUGAGGGCGGCGCGAGUUUUAUCUUGGAUAUGAGUGAAGCCCUACCUCCUGAUAUAGAGUCCGGUUUCGCCUUCUUUGGAAAUGUUCACGUUGAAGUAAACAGAAAUGGACCGAUACUGACGGGGAUAGUU